rnacentral:rRNA from 1 species
AUUGAACGCUGGCGGCAGGCCUAACACAUGCAAGUCGAACGAGUGGCGGACGGGUGAGUAAUGUCUGGGAAACUGCCCGGUGGAGGGGGAUAACUACUGGAAACGGUGGCUAAUACCGCAUACCAUCAGAUGGGCCGAUAUGGGAUUAGCUUGUUGGUGGGGUAAAGGCUCACCAAGGCCACGAUCCCUAGCUGGUCUGAGAGGAGGACCAGCAACACUGGAACUGAGACACGGCCCAGACUCCUACGGGAGGCAGCAGUGGGGAAUAUUGCACAAUGGGCGCAAGCCUGAUGCAGCCAUGCCGCGUGUAUGAAGAAGGCCUUCGGGUUGUAAAGUACUUUCAGCGGGGAGGCGUUACCCGCAGAAGAAGCACCGGCUAACUCCGUGCCAGCAGCCGCGGUAAUUC